GUGGAUUAGAUACCCUGGUAGUCCACGCCCUAAACGAUGCGAACUGGAUGUUGGGAGCAACUUGGCUCUCAGUAUCGAAGCUAACGCGUUAAGUUCGCCGCCUGGGGAGUACGGUCGCAAGACUGAAACUCAAAGGAAUUGACGGGGGCCCGCACAAGCGGUGGAGUAUGUGGUUUAAUUCGAUGCAACGCGCAGAACCUUACCUGGCCUUGACAUCCAGAGAACUUUCCAGAGAUGGAUUGGUGCCUUCGGGAACUCUGAGACAGGUGCUGCACGGCCGUCGUCAACU
rnacentral:rRNA from 1 species